UACAUAUAAUAUAUAUUAAAUUUUUUUUUUAUUCUUUACUAUAUACUUUUAUAGUAAUGAUGCAAAUGUAAAAAGUGAAACAUAUUUUUAUAAUUAAAAAUUAAAUAUGUGUAAAUUAUAAUAAAUUCCAUAAAAUGACAUUUUGAGAAUUAUAUAUUAUAAGAUAUGCAUAUAAAUAAAAACAUAGAAUGGUUUUAAAAGUAAAAGGAUUAUAUAAAAGGAUAAGAAAUAUUAUAUAAAUUAUAAAGUAUAAAAUCGUACAUUUAUAGAUAGAUUAGAAUCUAAGAAUAAUAUUUGAAAGGGUUAAAUAAUAUAGGGUUGAUUGAAAGAACCUAGAAAAAAUAAGAAAACAUUGAUUUAAUAUUUAUAGAGGAUAGAGUUAUAUUGAUUUUACUUGAAGAAAUAAAGAUUUUAUUUAAAUAAAUUAAAAUUAAAAAAAGAAUGAAUAGUAUUAAGUUAAAAACAAUUGUAUCUAACAAUAAAAAUAGCUAUAAAGAAAAAUUAUUUAAGAGUCUUUAAAUCUUAAAUAUAAAUUACGUCUUACAACAUUUGAUAAAGAUAAAAAAAAAAAAACAAUAUGAUAUGUAUUUAAAAUUUCUUAUUAUCUUGAAGAAGAUUUCAGAAAAAAAAACCUUUUAAGUUAGCACUCAGAAGCUUAAAAGGAAAGGAUAAGAUAAUAUAUAUAAUACCUUAUAAAAUAAAUAACUUUCAAACGUCAAAAACUGGAGUUACUUUUUAUUUGUCAAUAUAUAAGAAGAACUUUUUUUAUGAACUUAACUGGUAGUAGUAAAGAUUAAUUAAAAAUUGAAGACCACGAAGAAAAAGAAGAUGAAGAACAGUUAAAAAUAAGGUUACCUUUAAGUAUUAUUAUCAUAUAUAAUAGGAUCUAUGAAGAAAGGAAAUGAUGAUAUUACAACAGAAAUAAGACGUAUAUAAGACAAAAAUGAAUAAAAAGGUGUGUAGAACAAAGAGAAAUUAGUUAUCUUGAGUAUAUCAAAAGACAUAAGAUAAUUGAAAGAGAAAUGUAUACAUAUAUGGGUAUAUUAUAAUAAGUAAAUGAAAUCUAGAAAGAACAAAAUGAUGUACUCAAAGAUAUCUUAAAUAAAUAUGGAUAUGCAGAAAACAGCAUGAUAGUUUUUUUUUUUUUUUUUUUUUUUUUGUAUAUACCAAUUCAACUAAUGGUUUUUUAUAUAAGAAGAGAACUGACAUCAAAAAGGAAACGUUAAUAUAUAUAUAUAUAUGUGUAUGAAGAAGAAGCUUUAUUUUAAUUUAUUUUUUAUAUAUACCAAUGUCUAAAUGGUUUAUAGAAGAAAUUAAUUGCGAUAAGUAGAGAAAGAUUAAAAGAAAAGGUAUUAUAUAGACCAAGUAUAUAUAUAGAAGAAACACAUUAUAAAAACUAAUAAGGCAAGCUCAGAACUAAACAGAAAUAUAGUUCAGUGCUUAUAGUAAUCAGAACUACGAAGAAGAUUCCCAAGGCCUCAAAACUCAGAACUAAAAAUGCCUCAGAAUUAAGGAAGCCAUAUAAUUCAGAUACUAUAAUCUCAGAACUAACAAAACAGGAAAAAAAAAAUAUAUAUAUAUAUAUAAUGUGAAAGAGAAAUAAUAACUGCGUAAAAAGUUAUAUACAAUAAGCCUUUUCAAGAUAUUUUAUUAGAUACAUAUAAUAUUGUUAUGCUCAGAACUACAUAUAUGGAAUGUGUAUGGAAAUAUAAAAAGUACAUGAAGAAAUUAUAUUGUUAAAUAGAAUCACACAAAUAUGAUAAUGAAGAAAAACAGAUUGUUAUAGGUAAAAUACACAUAAGCAAUAUAUUAUAAAUGAAUUGAAGAAAAACAAAAGACCUAUAUGGAAAAUGAGAGAAGAGUAUAUAUUUAGAAAAUUUAUUAUAUUCUAAACCCCAAGAAUAUUAUUGGAAAUUCUAAAUAUAUAUAUAUAUAUAUAUAUAUAUAUAUAACCUUAUAUACAUAUGAAAUUUUUUUAUACUAUAUAUACAAAACCCCUCAUGUAUAUAAUAUAAAGAACUUUUUUUAUUUAUAUUGGUAUAGAAGAUUCUAUGGAAGAUUAAAUGUUAUGAAGAAAAGUAAUAUAUAUAUUUAAGAAAUAUUGCCCUUAAAAGUUUUAUCUUAAUAUUGUUUUUCCAAAACUUUUAAUUUAUUUUGAUAUUUCUGAAAGAAUAUAGUUUUAAUCAUAUAUAUGUCUUGAAAUUAUAUAUUUGUUAGUUAUGUUUUUUGAAAGAAUAUAGAUUUCUUUUAAUGUUCUUGAAAAGAUUUAAUGCGAUCAAUAUUUUUUUGAGGAUAUAAUUUAUUUUGAUGUACUUUUCAGGAUAUAUAGUUUUUUUAAUAUUUUGGAAAGAUUUAAUAUAUAAUUUUUUUACUGUUCUUAUAAAGGCAGUAUAUUAUUUUAUGUUUCUUAGAUUAUAUAGUUUUUUUUUUUGUUUCUUUAUGUUUUCAUAAUAAUUUAUGCAUAUAUUUUUUUAAUUUCUGUUUUUCACGGAUUCAUUCGCUGAACUUGUUUAUAGUAAAUGUUUUUAUAUAAACAAUAAAAAAAAAAUAAAAAGUAAAAAAUAAAAAGUAAAAAAUAAAAAAUAAAAAGUAAAAAAUAAAAAGUAAAAAAUAAAUUAUUCAUAUACAUAAUUUCUUGUUAUUACAUAUAGUCUUCUUUUUUUAUACAUAGUCUUCUUUUUUUAUACAUAGUCUUCUUUUUUUAUACAUAGUCUUCAUUUAUUAUACAUAGUCUUCAUUUAUUAUACAUAGUCUUCUUUUUUUAUACAUAGUC